rnacentral:rRNA from 1 species
CCUACGGGAGGCAGCAGUGGGGAAUAUUGGGCAAUGGGCGCAAGCCUGACCCAGCAACGCCGCGUGAAGGAAGAAGGCUUUCGGGUUGUAAACUUCUUUUCUCAGGGACGAAGCAAGUGACGGUACCUGAGGAAUAAGCCACGGCUAACUACGUGCCAGCAGCCGCGGUAAUACGUAGGUGGCAAGCGUUAUCCGGAUGUACUGGGUUUAAAAGGCGUGUAGGCGGGGACGCAAGUCAGAUGUGAAAACCACGGGCUCAACCUGUGGCCUGCAUUUGAAACUGUGUUUCGUGAGUACUGGAGAGGCAGACGGAAUUCCUAGUGUAGCGGUGAAAUGCGUAGAUAUUAGGAGGAACACCAGUGGCGAAGGCGGUCUGCUGGACAGCAACUGACGCUGAGGCGCGAAAGCGUGGGGAGCAAACAGGAUUAGAUACCCGAGUAGUC